AAAUUUUCAACGAUGGAUGUCUUGGCUCCCAUAUCGAUGAAGAACGCAGCAAGAAUGCGAUAUGCAAUGUGAAUUGCAGAACCACGAAUCAUCGGAUCUUUGAACGCAACUGGCGCUAACUCUGUUAGCAUACUUGUUUCAGUGUGCGC
rnacentral:rRNA from 1 species